GAAAAACUCAAGAAAAUUAUGAACAUGGUGAAAAAUAAAGAACUGAGCAUUCAAGAAUCCUUGGAAUUGGCAGAAAAAGAGAAGGGACCUGAAGAGGAAGGGUUGGAAUUAAAUGACCCAUUGGCUUCCCAGGAUUUCUUGACUGCUACACAGUUCAACUUCAUCAUCCGUAAAUACAAAAGAUACAGAUGGCAGAAACGGAUUUUACAGAUUGAUUUAAACACCAAAACCAUUUUUAACAUUGAGAAUGGUAUCAUCAGAAAACAGUUCCCAUUUUGCCAAAUCAAGUACUGGGAAAGUGGAGAGGGGACCCGGUUUAACAUUGCAUUUCAUGGGCACCAGGAUUAUGUACUAGAGGCAACAUCCCUAGAAGACAAAAGGAAACUGGUGCACCUUUUGGAUAAGAUCCUGUGGAAAUCUGCAGAAUCUGCUUUGGCACAGAUUGACCAGCAGGAUGGAGCUGUACAUGAAGGCUUGCUGGAAUUGGAGCAGAAUGGUCUGGAAGCUGCUAAAUGGGUCAAGUGCUUGGUACAGCUCCAUGAAAGACAGCUGACCCUGUAUCCUCUUGGCUUCAAUGAUGAGAAUGGGAAAACUAAUAUGGAAGCAAGCAAAGUACAAUUGUCUGAUGUGAGAGUCCAUAAAGAAAAUGAAUAUGAUGAAUUUUCAGUCCAGACUAAAAAAGACAAUUAUUUAUUGAAAAAUCCAUCUGGUCAACAUGUGACCUCCGGAAGAGAAAAAUUGAUGUGA
rnacentral:lncRNA from 1 species